AGACUCGGGGCCUCACGCGCUUGCGCGCCGCCCGCUGCCCGCCGCGGCUGGGAGUCCGGAGCUUUCGUCUUGUGGUGGUUUCGGUUCGGCUCUCAAAUGGAGGUGGCUACGUUGAAGACAGCUGGGGCUGCCGCACGCCUCGGGGUUACUGUCGGGCACCCGGCGGGCGGGGCCGGCUCUGGGGCGGGGGAGGGCUUCCUCGCCCUCAGAAACCACAUUCGCAGAAACGCUUUUAACUGGCAAGGUUUCGAGUUCCCAACCACAGCACCCUCAGUGAUGGUUUUCAGAAGACCUUGUUAGCUCCUCUGCUCCAGAGACCCAUCCUUCGCUGACAUCCCACCGAUUUGGGAGCAGGAAAAAACAGACGCCUGCAAAAUACCUCCUCUUCCAGUGCCCUAUACCCCUCUCUGCUUACUUCGGGUCCCUGCAGUCCAGCAAUAACCCCAAACGAGUGAAGGGAGGAGACAUCGGUUUGUCUAGGCUCUGCCACCGACGGGUGAUUUGGGAUAAGUCCUUCUCCAGUAUCAUUAUCUUCAACUGUAAAACAUGAGGGUUAGUCCGAAUGAUCUCCAAACCCUUCAGCAUUAAAGAUACAGUGAGAAGGUACUAUCUAUGAAUCAGAAAGUGGGCCCUCAUCUGAGCAUGACCAUGCUGGCACCAUAAUCUUGGACUUCUCAGCCUCCAGAACUUUCAACUUGGAGCACCUGCUACAUGCCCCACGCUGUGACAGACUCUCAGGGGACACCAAGGGAAAUAAGGCCCAGCUCCUGCUUCAAAGAGCUGACCAUCAACUGGCGGGGAUUAGACAAUGAGAGAAGUCCAAGCUAAAGAAAGUGCCGCAGGAGAAACAUGAGGUGCUUGAGGUUUCAAUGGAGGGAAAGGAUAUAUCAGGUUGGAGAUACUAACAAAAGACUUUAUUCAUUCA